GAUGAACGCUGGCGGCGUGCCUAAUACAUGCAAGUCGAGCGAACGGACGAGAAGCUUGCUUCUCUGAUGUUAGCGGCGGACGGGUGAGUAACACGUGGAUAACCUACCUAUAAGACUGGGAUAACUUCGGGAAACCGGAGCUAAUACCGGAUAAUAUUUUGAACCGAAUGGUUCAAAAGUGAAAGACGGUCUUGCUGUCACUUAUAGAUGGAUCCGCGCUGCAUUAGCUAGUUGGUAAGGUAACGGCUUACCAAGGCAACGAUGCAUAGCCGACCUGAGAGGGGGAUCGCCCACACUGGAACAGAGAAACGGGCCAGACUCCUACGGGAGGCAGCAGUAGGGAAUCUUCCGCAAUGGGCGAAAGCCUGACGGAGCAACGCCGCGUGAGUGAUGAAGGUCUUCGGAUCGUAAAACUCUGUUAUUAGGGAAGAACAUAUGUGUAAGUAACUGUGCACAUCUUGACGGUACCUAAUCAGAAAGCCACGGCUAACUACGUG
rnacentral:rRNA from 1 species